rnacentral:rRNA from 1 species
UAGCCAUGCGAGUUAAUGUUCUUCGUGAACAUAGCAGACUGCUCAGUAACACGUGGAUAACCUGCCCUUAGGACUGGCAUAACCCCGGGAAACUGGGGAUAAUUCCGGAUAGAUCAUAAAUGCUGGAAUGCUUUAUGAUUGAAAGGUUUCGACCGCCUUAGGAUGGGUCUGCGGCCUAUCAGGUUGUAGUGGGUGUAAUGUACCUACUAGCCUACGACGGGUACGGGUUGUGGAAGCAAGAGCCCGGAGAUGGAUUCUGAGACAUGAAUCUAGGCCCUACGGGGCGCAGCAGGCGCGAAAACUUUACAAUGCGGGAAACCGUGAUAAGGGAACACUGAGUGCUAGCAUUUAUGUUAGCUGUCCACAUGUGUAAAUAGCAUGUGAUAGCAAGGGCUGGGCAAGACCGGUGCCAGCCGCCGCGGUAACACCGGCAGCCCGAGUGGUGAUCACUAUUAUUGGGUCUAAAGGGUCCGUAGCCGGUUUAAUCAGUCUUCUGGGAAAUCUAAUCGCUUAACUAUUAGGCUUCCAGGGGAUACUGUUAGACUUGGGACCGGGAGAGGUAAGAGGUACUGCAGGGGUAGGAGUGAAAUCUUGUAAUCCCUGUGAGACCACCAGUGGCGAAGGCGUCUUACCAGAACGGGUCCGACGGUGAGGGACGACGGC